rnacentral:tRNA from 1 species
CAGAUUAAUCUUUAGAAGUAGUAUUAUUUACAAUAAUAUUUUGGUUUGUGCAAUUCAUUCUAAUCUGA